rnacentral:rRNA from 1 species
AGUGAAGCGGGAAGAGCUCAAAUUUGUAAUCUGGCGGUCUGGCGGCCGUCCGAGUUGUAAUCUGGAGAAGCGUUUUCGGUGCCGGCCCGCGUACAAGUCCCCUGGAACGGGGUGUCGCAGAGGGUGAGAAUCCCGUCUCUGACGCGGUCCGCCGGCGCCGUGCGAUGCGCUCUCGAAGAGUCGAGUUGUUUGGGAAUGCAGCUCAAAACGGGUGGUAAAUUCCAUCUAAAGCUAAAUACUGGCGAAAGACCGAUAGCGAACAAGUACCGUGAGGGAAAGAUGAAAAGCACUUUGGAAAGAGAGUCAAACAGUACGUGAAAUUGUUGAAAGGGAAACGCUUGAAGUCAGUCGCGUCUCUCGGGACUCAGUCGGACCCUAAGGGUCCGACCACUUCCCGGGUCGGACGGGCCAGCGUCGAUUUCGACCGCCGUAAAAAGGCGUGAGGAACGUGGCACCUUCGGGUGUGUUAUAGCCUCU